GGCACUAGAGGUUGAUAAGAAGAUGAACAAAGCAAAUUUUUUCUCAAAGAAAGAAGAUAAACAAAGCAAACUAGUUCUUUCUACUACCAGCAUGAUUUAAGAAGAAAUGUUUUACUGAGCUCCCCAAAAAAUUGUCGAUCUUGUCUCGACGUGGAGAUCAGAGGACACACUAAUCGUUCACCUCUAGUUUGAUAUGUUCCCUUCCAGUUAUAUGAUCAACAUGAUCAGUCGAUUGGACAACAGAGUCAUUGGCCGAAUGACAAUUUCAACAUAGGAAAGUAAGAGUCAGCAUUCAGGUGAGCCACUCAAUGGUGUGGUAUAUAUUGAGUUGUUUAAGCUGUCAAUUAAAUUAGUAAAUUGGUAACAUAGCUGCAAAAGGAAAGCCCACUAUGGUCCUCUAACUCGUGAGAAUUGAGUACUUAAGUCGUGUCUUGAAUGUCUUCUCACAAAGAUCUUAAAGUUACAAAGAUGCCUAGCAUAUAUUAUUUUAUGUCUUUUGGUUGAAAGAUCGUGUCAUUUUUGGAGUUUGAGGUUCAUAAAAAGUGUGAUAAAUGAGCCCAAAGGACGGAUAAUUAUUACUCCUCCAUCCCAAUUUAUGUGAUAGUAUUAGACUCUAUGCGAAGAGAAAGAAAGACUUUUGGGACUUUUGGUGUAAAACAAGCCAUAGAUAUUUGUGUGGUUAUAAAUCUUCUCAUUAAGAUAAAAUGCGGAGUUUAAAGUCAAAUUAUAUGUAAAUAUAGAAAUAUGUCAUUCUUUCUGGGAUGGAUUAAAAAGGAAAUACCAUCACAAGUGAUCCUUUUCUUCUCCGGAUAGAAGUAGACAUCGGGUUGGCGUGACGGGUGAGCAAAUUAUAUUAGAAAAAGUCUUCAUCAAAUGAGGAAGAUCUUUUUAUACCAUACAAGGAUGAGGAUACUAGACAACCCUUACAAGAAGGCAUAAUUAUGUACACAACCUAAUCUCCUCGUUCUAUCGAACAUCGCACAUAUAACAAUAAGUCCAUCGCAAACCCAACCCUUUUGUGUAAAUUGUAUUGCUAGAUGUAGCUAUGUAGCAACAAAUACGCCUCAAUCCCAGCCUUGUUGGGGUUGGGUGUAUGAUUCUUCUAUAUUAUUCCACUCCUAUAUAGGUCCAUUUCUUUUCAAAUACUUAAUACUUUUCCUUUUUAGAAAAAAAAUUAGGAGUUCUUUAGAACUAAAGAUUUUUCUGGAUCUCAUACUUAUCCUUGCACUAAGGUACAAACUUUUAUUCAAACUAGAAAGUAUAAGAAUAGUGUUGUUUCAAGUAUCCAAUCAUCUCCUAUAGAUAACUCACCAAAAUUAUGGUGGAAUCCUAGUAAUAUAUAUCGACAUAAACUACUUGUGUUGGGGCUUGUUAAAUUCUAUCAAUGGUUAUAUAUUGGGUGGUGUGAAAAAUAUUGAUAACUAUAGUUUAGAUAUAAUGCCAAAAGUAGUUGGCUUGAGCCUUGUUGCACUUCACUAGUCGUAAGCCUUGUUCCAUUAUCAUUCAACCCUUGAACAACACGAUUGAAAUCGUCUAAUGUCUAAGAUGUAUUUGAAAAAGUGCAAAAAAAUAAUUAUCCUUUAUUGCAUUUUUUGGUAAAAUCCUAAGCUGUCAACCAGCCAAAUUAGAAUUUAAAAUAUAAUGAGAGGCUGCAAGAACUUUGUUUUAGAAAUAGCUCAAAGACUUUAUAGUUCUGUCUCUACAUGCUACAAGCCAAACUGUAAGUCACAAGUAGCAUCUCGCUGCCCACCUAAACUGUAGGUGUGUGGUGGAUGUGUGACGUUUGUGGUUGUUUGUGCACCUAUCCCAGUGAAAGAAGACCAAGUGAUAUGCUUUCGUACCUAUCAUGACUUCACUUGUCCCUGAUGGAUGUGGGCUUAUGGUCAUUCGCACUGCGUGCAUAAACUUAGUUGCUAAGUUAAUCAGGAAACCAACUUCUAAGGAUAUUGUCUACCAAUCAAGAGAGGCCUCCAACUACUUUGCAACCUAACUGAGUCAUAUCUUGAUGGCAACUAAGAAUUCAUAACAUAAGCUGAGAUCAUUUUUAGAAACUUGGACUCCAAAACUUCACCACUCAAUGUUACAGUACCUUUAAGACUUUUCCUUUCUAUACGGUCUGCAAGGGCGUCGAUCAACGUGGAUUUUCCCGAGCCACUAGAACCAAGGACCGCCAUGAUUUCGCCUUCCCUUGCUUCCCCUGAAAUGUCAUUCAACAAUACCUUCGUGCGAGUCAUGUCCUCAUCUGUGGAUUUUAUUUUAUUUUUGACAAGAAUUUCUUGCUAUGAAGAUCAUUCAAGUAAAAAGGAGCUCUUAAGUGGCCCAUAUCCAGCUUAUGAGCUUCCUAAAAUUGUGAGAGUGAGAUAGCCUUGGAAGGCAAAAAUUUCUUCCACCUGUUGUCACGUCCUCUUGAAGAAGGUAACGAAUUGGAACAUAGUUGGAUUCCUUUCAAUGAAUAAGGAAAAACAUGAAAUAAUAGCUUAUGCAAUUCUAGAUAUAACGAAAUACCAGAUACAGGGUGAUCCAAUAAUUGGGAGUGUUAGAUGGACUAUGGUAUAAGUACUGGAGAUGGGUGUCUUAAAAUCUGUUUUAUAUGUGUGUACUUCAUAAAAGACAAUGAAGCUGAAAAUUUGAUCAUUCUAUUGAAGCUAACUAAUUGCAGUGAGUUCUGAAAUGUUUAAUAUGUUUGAUGCUUAUUUAUAUAGCGUUAGCAAUGUAGUACAUUAGAUUCAUUCCCCUCUUUUUCUGGUUAACAUACAUUUUCCUUGCAAUCCUCUGUACCAUCUCUUAAAAGAAACUGGCAUAUUGUCUUGUGAUCACGAAUCAGCCAAGUUUGGUUCUGCAUAUUAGAAAGUCCUGUAACGGCUUGUUUAUGCUUCAGGCACUUGAACCGACAGGGUUCAGAUUUCUCUUUGACAAGCAGCUUCAGAACAGUGAUGUAAGCUCCCUAAGGAGAAUUGUCGUGCCCAAGGUUUGGACUUUUUAUAGCAUCGUUGUAAAUGCAUUAAGAACACUUAUCUCUUGUGCUUACUUUUUUUUUAUUUUGAGUACACAUUGAAGUGAUAAUUAAUCUCGCAAUCAUUUAAGAUUUCCAUACUAAUGAUUUAGCAGUUGUCCAAUAUUGUGUAUGCCAUGGUUAUUCAAAAAGUCUGCGGCUACCCGAUUAAAUUUUGUAUCAUGAUUAAUUUCAGAAAGCAGCUGAGCGAUAUCUCCCAACUCUUGAGAUCAAGGAAGGUUUUCCCAUAACCAUGGAUGACAUGGAUGGCAUCCAUGUCUGGAGUUUCAGAUACAGGUCUGAGGUUAUUUUUUUUUCUUCAAAUUUACUUGAGGGAGCGACAUUUCUAAGCCAGUGAAGCAAUAUAGAUUGAAGUGUCCGGGCAAGGAUGUGAAGGCCAGCAUAUUUGAUAAAAGCGAUUAAACUAUUUGAUGCUGGUCAUCCUUGAGCUAGAUGACAUUCUUAAUACCUGGCAUUGUAGUGAUAUUUUGCUAGUGCCUUAACAAAUUGGUUGAUUAAGUCAACAUUUAAGAAAGGAGGGGGGUGGGGGUGGGGGUGGGGGCUGUUAAGAAUAACAUAGAAAAUACAGUUGCUUGUGCUAUGUUCGGACAUAGUUCGCCCACACAGUUUAUGUAUUGUUACAACAGUCUUUCUCUUGAAUAUUAUGCUUUUCUUAUAGGUACUGGCCAAAUAACAGCAGUCGGAUGUAUGUGCUUGAAAAUACUGGUGAGAUCUCGAGAGCCCUUUCUCUCCAAGUUUAUUUACUUCUGUUCUGUUUCUUAAAGGGCUAAAACUAAAAGCAGAUUAAUGUUGUUGGAUUUGAAACUUGAUGGUCAGGUGAUUUUGUCCAAACACAUGGAUUACGCCAAGGAGACUACUUUGCCCUCCAUUACAAUGAUCAGAAGCAGAUCUAUGUAAGCUUGCUAAAUUAAUUCUUAUGUUGUCGGUGUAGUUACUUCAAAGGUUAUAAAUGUAUGUCGGUUGUCAAAGGCUAUUGUUUGUUGUGACCUAUAUAUGUGGUCUGUUCGUAUAUAGGGCAUCGAAGCAAGGAAAGCUGGAGAUGGAGCAGUAUUUCAUGGUUAUGAAGCGGAAGACAUGAUUUUAACUGAUUAUGCACAGGCGGCAGAUGAUGGGAAUGGGGUGCUUAUGAAUGAACCAGAGUUGGAUAUGUCCAGCUUUUACUUCCCUGCAAUGGACAAUGAGAUGGGCAUGUCCUUCAUUUAUGAUACCAGCUUCUGGAACGAGCCUGCCUUCGAUUUUGUAGGGGGUCCUAUGACCUAUUACUCAACUAAUGUGUUCCCAAUGCCAAGCUUUGGAUCCAUUGAAGACAGCUUCUCUGUUGAUGAUUUCUAUUAAGGUCUGCACGCGCAUAGCGGAAUAGGGGGAUACAUACUAUUAAUCCCAUGCAGCCUUGUAAUCUAAUCCAUACUCCUACCGGUAACCUUGAAGUAUAAAGCUGAUACUCCAGUUACAAGCACAAGGAAUUGUACUAGUAAGUUAAGGUUUCUGUUUUUUGGUUUUUUGUAAGGAAGGGGCCGAGACUUCUGGGGGUGUUUUGUACUUUUUUUGGCUGGCUUCUGUUGUCAAGUUCGGAUCAAAAACUCUUUACCACCGUAAAUGUAAUAAACUGGAGACCUAAGAAAUGGAAAAAUAUGAAAUAAAAAGGUGCAUAGUUCGGGCUUAUAAUCUUGUCAUCAAGCUUUGUUUGAUUUGUCAUGUUUAGAAACCGUGCUCUAUGCUCUACUCUUAGCAUAAUCCCUACUAAAAUGUUUGUGUUGUCUAAUGAAUAUUCUAAAGGAAAAGCAGAGGUGUUUAGUAAUUAUUUCAUUACUCCGGCUUGUAGAUUUUGUCACUUCAGCUUUUCUCAGUCUAAGAGAAGAGUUUUUCAUAGUUUCCCCUCAUUUUGUUCUGUUUGGCUCAAGCUAAGGAGGUGACCUCGCCCUCUUUUAAGUUUGAAAAAAAUCAGAGAUGUGUAGCGGUGACCUGACCCUUCGGCCUUCACCCACAGGUUACCAACAUACAUAGAAGGCACUCAAUUUGGUCUCUUAGAUUCGGCAAUUGAUCUUCCUGCAUUUACGGAUCCAUAUAUCAACUGCAGCACAAACCGCACAAACAGAGAUGGCGUGGGUAUGGGGUGCAGAGGCAGUCUCAAAACUCGCUUCAGUAACAAUGGGAUUUUGAAAAAGCAAAAACAACAGAGCAAUAAAAGAAUCAUCAUUCAGCAGCUAUAGCUCGGCAAACUAAAAAUAUAUAGCCCCAAAUAUGCUUGUUAUUCCCAUCCUCGAGAGGGAACAGCGUUUCUAGCAUCAAAUUGAUUUUGUAUCUAUUCUAACAAAAAAACAUCCGCAACGCUUAAGUUUUAGGGGGACUCCCCCUCUCCAAAAUCUCAAAAUUAGAGAAAUAUAAAAUUGUCAAGAUUGUUGUGUAAGAAUACUCUCCAGCUUACUACGAAAGAGCACUAGAGAAACAUUGGCAAUCUGUGUUUAUUGUUUCAUCUGGAGAAGUCUUCUCUUACUACUAGGCUUGGCGAAGAAUUAGUUUAUACUCAACCUUACACCUUUGCAACCUCAGAGGCAGCAGGUGCAGAAGGAGCAACUCCUCCAGUUGUAGGCCUGAAAUCGCAUCAGAAAAAAUAAACCAAACAUAUUUAUUAAGUUCUCAAAGCAGACUGAUACAUGAAAGGUAGACAGGUUUAGAAUGUCCAACUAAGUGUUAGAAGAAGACACUUACAGCCCAACAAAAACCUUGAAAGCAUCAUAGAUUCCCCAUUGAGCACCAGUAAGAGUUCCAAUCAUGACAAUACGUAGAGGAAGCCCACGGGUAAAGAGACCCACUACUCCUAUCUUCUUCACGGCCUGAGGAAAUAGUUUUUUGUCAGAAACAAAUGGCGGGUUUCGCGUGAAAGAUUAAUGACUUGAGGACAUUUCAAAAAAUAAGAGGCGAAAAGAGAGAUGGCGCAACAAACGAUAGAAGCUUCGAAAUGCUUACAUCACCAACAGUUGCACCCUUGGCAUUGUUGAGGAAUGAGACAAGAUUGUCAGCAGGAUGGGAUACAAUAGCACAGAAGACACCGGCUAUAUAUCCACCAGCAAAGCUAAUACCAAGUUGCAUAGAUUUGCUGCACUCAUUUUUAGGCUUUGGGACUGCAUGCUUGUAGAUCAUCUCCACAAUAGUCUCAAAGGACGCAAACUUCAUCAUUGUAUCUGCAAUUUACGACGUUUAAUCCUUAAUGCCCAACAACAAAUAGUAACUCAAAACAAAGUCAAAAUUAGAAGAACAAUAGCACAAACAGAUAUGCACUGAUAAAACAAAUACACAGUAGUCUUAAAAUAGGCAUCAUGUUUCAGGCUCUGCAACAUCGCAGGAUUAUACUUUUAUUUGUGUCGUGCAAGUAGAAAAAGAGAAAAAAAUAGAUGAAAGACCGAAUCAAGAAGGAAAGCUUUGGGUGAAUUACUAGGACGACUCUACCUGAACCAAAAAUGGGCCUCCCUCUAAAACCUACCAAGAGCAGAAAACAUCAUGACAUGGACCUUCCCAGCCCUUAAUCUGUAUUGCUUUAAAUCACAAGUUAUAACAGCAAAAAGGUUCAAAAAUUCUUACCCUCGAAUCCUACUGUAUUUCCGAAGAGUAAGAGCAUCUAAACAUAUGAAUAGAAGGGAAUGUUGUCAAAGAAUUCCGCAAGAUUUUCCAUCAUUCGACCGUCCAACUUAGAAACUAAUGAAUCCCAGACCUAUGCUCCCCCCAAGGAAAAAAACCAUUCUCACUCUAAUUUACACAUUUAACUUAAAUCGCCAACCUCCAUCCAAUCAUACUCCAAUCCAAGCCCUAUUAUGUCCCCUUCCUCCCGAAGCUUCUGCUCUCCCUCUGAUUGCCCCCUUCCACUAGUCCUGUCCUUCCCCUUUCAUUCCCCAAGCUCCCCAUAAAGUUCAAUACCCAAUUUUGUGGAAUAGUAUGUUAAUGGCCAACAAGCAUAUUAAAACUUGCAAUGUACUUAGAUCAUAGGCUUACGUGCAAUAUUUUGUCUUCCAAAGAAAAAUGCAAUAAGUUCUUAAUAUAAAGCAGAGCAUUUCAACAAGUGACCCUAUUUACUUGGCUCGAACAAGUGAAGGUGCUUGAGAGCUAACUUUCUAGCUUUCACCAACCAAAAAAGGAAGCCAUUACCAGAACGAGAAAGAGACAAGAAAUUUCCAUCAGCUAUGACAAUUUUUUUGAUGAAGUCCAUCAGCUAUGGCAAUUAAUUACUGCUGCAUCCAAACAUAAGCCCUUAUAUAUCCAUCUUCAACUUCCAGGCCUUCUGGGGCCUAUUGGAUCCUAAUUAUAGAAACUCUUGCAGUUCUAAGUAAGGUGACUGUCCGCAUUUAAUAAACAUACGUGGAGAAGGAAAUCUCUCUAUUUGUUUUAUUUAACAGAGAAACGAAAAGUUAAUUUUCUCAAAUAACUAUUCCAUCGAUCUUUUUAGGGGGUAGCGAGGGGAGGUCCCGCGUUUGGAGUUUCUAUUGUUUUUUAAGACAGGUCCAACUAACAGACCCUAAGUUUUACAAAUUCUAGCAAACAUCAAAACGCUUCUCACUCAUUUGGGUAAUCAUAUGGAUAUCAAACCCCUAGUCGCAUUAUUAAAAUAUCCCAGGUAAUAAGCAAGUUAGUAAAUAACAACAAACAGUAGAAGACAGAUGGUUCCACUUACAUGGAAUCUGACGUCCCCAAAGAGGAACCAAACCUUUGUACAGGCUGCAAAAAUAUAACAAAAUAUUAAAAUCUGUUCUAUAAGGUACAGAUUCAGGAAUGUGCUAACAACAAUGAUAAUAGCAUACCCCAUGGUUCCUUCAGAUCUUACGAAUUUUGGUAAUCCAUCUGACAAUCCCCUAGCAAAACCAGGCUGUGUCUGAACACGAACUUUUACAGCUUCAAAUGGGCAAAGAGCAAUGUCUGCAAUCACUUCCGCAGAUGCAGAACCAGCAAGGUAUAUCAGAGUCUUGUACUUUGCAGCAUUUUCUGCUCCAGCAAGGUCAGAGUAGUACUUCUUGAAGAAUUCAUAGAAUCCAAACUUGCAUGCACCCUGAGCACUGUAACCCAGAAGAGUAGGAACCCAUCCCCUGAAGAAGCCCUUAGCACCUUGUUCCUUAAGCAGCACUCCAAAUCCAGAUGAAAUGCUCUUGUAUUUCGCGGGGUCAAUCUAGGAAUUUAUGAAAUUUCAGUCAGUUUAGAUAAUUCAUUACUAAUGCUCGGUAAGAAAAUAAAAACAAUUUAAUUACCAAGGGAAUAGUUUCACACAUGAAGACAUCAUACCAUAGUUAAGAAAAGUAAAGGGGGAAGCUAGCAAAUGAGAAACUAUCCCAUUGGGAAGGAAAGUCAGUACAGUAAAAUAUCUAGGACCAUUACGAGCACAAUGUCCAAACAUGUAAAAAUGAAGCUCUUUAAUCACAAAUCUAAGAAAAAGCUAUCCAUGUUUUCAAAUGCCAUUUCCUCAAUCUACUUGAAAACCUUUAGCUAAUGCUGCAGAUAAGACUCUUAAGCAAUAAUACGACUCAGUGACCGAGUAGGAUAGUUUAGCAAGGUUCAGGGUUAAAAAGCACUGAGACUAAUACUAUAAUAGCAUGAGAGUCCAAUACAGUCUCGUGUUGACAAACUGCACAAUCAUAAUCAGCAAAAGUGACAUGUGAAGGAUGAGAUGGGAAACAGCCAAGUCUGAAUAGCACACUCCUUCCCCUUUCCAUAUAUCUAAAGAUAAUACAAAUCAAAAUUAAAUGAAAAGGCAGACUUGCUUCCUCGCUUUGUCACAUGUAGAGGAACAUUUCACAUUUAAAAUCAUUCAAACUACUACACACAUGAUAGACUGAGAUCUGAAAUAAUAAUUUCCAAUUAAAUCUUAAACAAAAUAAUAACGCCCUCCUCCUCUAUACAGAGAAAUCACCAAUCAACUACUUUUGCCAAUAAAAUCAGUCCUGCUAGUCACGUUACAAAUUUAGAUCUAGAACAUGCGCAAUGAUAUUCAAUCCAGAAGAGUAUAUAUCGGAUCUACACACACACAAAAAAAAGGAGCAUAUAAUGAUGUUUAAAAGAGUUGAGAAGUCAACGAUCGCGUCAGAAAUGGACAGAUCUGAAAAGCAAAGCGUAAAUGAAAUUGGAUCGAGACCUGCAUGUUACAUUUGACGAGAUCAAGCGGAGUGACAGCCAUGUGAGUGAGACCACAGCUGAGGAUACCACCGAAGGUACAGGCAGCGUAGAAUUGCGGUGAGUACAUCUCGAUCUUUCCAGGUUCGCUAGGUGCAGGAAUCACAAAGCUCUUGUUGGUGGACGACGGCUGUGCAGCAGGCAACACACUGGUGGUGUUCUCGGUAACAGCAAAGGUUUUGGGAGUGAAAGAAGAAAACGAAGAUGGAGUGUAGAGGAAGCUUGGAAGAAGAGACUGACGGCGUGAGUUCUCCAUGGCGAAAUGAGUUUGUGACGGCGCAGAGAGAGAUCGGAAGCGAGGAGAAAUGGGCGAG
rnacentral:lncRNA from 1 species